rnacentral:rRNA from 1 species
CCUACGGGAGGCAGCAGUAGGGAAUAUUGCUCAAUGGGGGAAACUCUGACGCAGCAACGCCGCGUGGAGGAUGAAGGUUUUCGGAUCGUAAACUCCUUUUGUUAGAGAAGAUAAUGACGGUAUCUAACGAAUAAGCACCGGCUAACUCCGUGCCAGCAGCCGCGGUAAUACGGAGGGUGCAAGCGUUACUCGGAAUCACUGGGCGUAAAGAGCGCGUAGGCGGGUUAGGAAGUCAGAUGUGAAAUCCUAUGGGUUAACCAUAGAACUGCAUUUGAAACUGUUAUUCUAGAGUAUGGGAGAGGUAGGUGGAAUUCUUGGUGUAGGGGUAAAAUCCGUAGAGAGCAAGAGGAAUACUCAUGGCGAAGGCGACCUGCUAGAACAUAACUGACGCUGAUGCGCGAAAGCGUGGGGAGCAAACAGGAUUAGAUACCCCAGUAGUC